AACGAACGCUGGCGGCAGGCCUAACACAUGCAAGUCGAACGCCCUAGCAAUAGGGAGUGGCAGACGGGUGAGUAACACGUGGGAACGUGCCCUUCGGUUCGGAAUAACUCAGGGAAACUUGAGCUAAUACCGGAUACGUGCGAGAGCAGAAAGAUUUAUCGCCGAAGGAUCGGCCCGCGUCCGAUUAGCUAGUUGGUGAGGUAAUGGCUCACCAAGGCGACGAUCGGUAGCUGGUCCGAGAGGAUGACCAGCCACACUGGGACUGAGACACGGCCCAGACUCCUACGGGAUGCAGCAGUGGGGAAUAUUGGACAAGGGGCGCAAGCCUGAUCCAGCCAUGCCGCGUGAGUGAUGAAGGCCCGAGGGUUGUAAAGCUCUUUCGCCAGGGACGAUAAUGACGGUACCUGGAUGAGAAGCCCCGGCUAACUUCGUGCCAGCCGCCGCAGUAAGAC
rnacentral:rRNA from 1 species